UGAAGUGCCCAUGGAAAGUACAGCAGUGAAUUACGUUAAUUAUUGUUAAUAAGAUCAGACUUUAUUUCAUUAAGAUCAAACUGAGCUAUGAGUGGUUAAAUGUAAUUUAAACAAGCAUUUACCUAAUGAUUUUUUACCUUUUUAUGCGUUUUCCUCAUCAGUAAAUAUGGUAUCUGUUCAUUUACAGUUGUUUGUCCGUAUUUUUCUAAACUGCCGUGCGCGGGAAGUGACGUGACGUCCCAAUCACCCACUCACUCUCUCUGCACCUGCGUGUCUGACUGGAUUAACGGUAAACGUCAGCUUGUCUGUGAGAGUGUGAAAGGUGUGUUGGUGUAAAAAUUGAUGCUGACUGAACUCAGGCAGUUGUGCUGGACCUUCUGUACUUUAUACAGGAGAUGACAGUAAACUUUCAAGUUUAAGAGGUGUGUUGGUGUAAAAAGUGAUGCUGACUGAACUCAUGCAGUUGUGUUGGACCCUCUGUACCUUAUACAGGAGAUGACGGUAAACUUUGAAGUUUAAGAGGUUCUGUAAUUUUGGAUAUAAGUACAAGGUGUGUUGGUGUAAAAAUUGAUGCUGACUGAACUCGGGCAGUUGUGCUGGACCAUCUGUACUUAGUACAGGGGAUGACAGUAAACUUUCAAGCUUAAGAGCCACCUGAUGAUGAGAGAGACAAUUUCAAUGUGGGCAUCUUGAUGGUGAGCCAGGCCUUCAUGCUAAUUUUGUGACCGUUUAAUCUAUUUAGCGUCAUUGUAAUAACAUUA